UUUGCUUUGUGUGCAGGGACAUUUAUUGUAUCCUGCAUACCCGUGUGUGUUUUGGCUGUCUGCAAGUAGUUUAUAUAUUCUUUCUUCCUGGGCUGCAGAGACUGAGGUAACUCCAGGGACAGGAGCACCUCAAUAUAACGAGAAGAUUUGCAGAGGCUUAUUCAGAAAACCAUAAAUGAAUGAUGAUGUGAAGAGACAAUCUAGGAAAGCAAAAUCCUACUAUGCCAGGUCUCAGGAAUGAGACACCCUGACCAUGCUCUGGGAGCUACAUCAAGUUCAUCAGACAACUUCGGCAUCAUAAAGAAUAAUGGCCACGAUCAAGUCAUAGAAGAGGAGGUGGUCACUGAAGGCAAAGUAAUUGAAUCUGGUUUUGGCCAUGAGCAUAAUAUACGAGUGGAGAAUGAGGGUGAGGGGGAAGGGAGCUGCUGCAGGGCUGCAUACCAGCAGAUGAUGGAAAAUAGCAAGGAAGCAGAGAAGAUGCAACUGUCUGUCCCUCUCACAAUCUUUAGAGACCUUGGGCAGCUUAACAGCACAUGGAGAUAAUGGAGGGAGCUUCUGGACAUGUUUUUGCAUCUAACAGGCCUCACACCAGGAGAUCUCACCCUGCCGUACUGACUAGAAGCCUGACCGGGAUCAUGUUAUGUCAAGGAACAAUGUUUUUAACUCUUUCCUCCAAUAUACUAGACAGACAGGAAUGGGCUUCCCUUUAACUCCUGGCAUUCAAAGCUGCUUUUAUUUGCUGAACAAAUACUGAAGCUGAGACAAGGAAGCUCAGGGGAACACAGUGAGGAAAACAUAGCCUGCUUUUUUAUAUACCCUUGAUCACUUUUAUAGCCAUUUCUGUCAAGAACAGAGCAUGACUCCAUUCUACUAGCUGUUAGGAUUCCACAACCAAAAAUUCACUCUUGACUUUCCUAGGAGUGGCAAUUGGUGUCUUCUUGUGCAUUUGAACUGACAUUUUCAUUCUUAAUCCACACCCUGACACCCUUUC